GAUGUCAGCGGCAGACGGGUGAGUAACACGUGGGAACGUACCCUUCGGUUCGGAAUAACGCUGGGAAACUAGCGCUAAUACCGGAUACGCCCUUUUGGGGAAAGGUUUACUGCCGAAGGAUCGGCCCGCGUCUGAUUAGCUAGUUGGUGGGGUAACGGCCUACCAAGGCGACGAUCAGUAGCUGGUCUGAGAGGAUGAUCAGCCACACUGGGACUGAGACACGGCCCAGACUCCUACGGGAGGCAGCAGUGGGGAAUAUUGGACAAUGGGCGCAAGCCUGAUCCAGCCAUGCCGCGUGAGUGAUGAAGGCCUUAGGGUUGUAAAGCUCUUUUGUCCGGGACGAUAAUGACGGUACCGGAAGAAUAAGCCCCGGCUAACUUCGUGCCAGCAGCCGCGGUAAUACGAAGGGGGCUAGCGUUGCUCGGAAUCACUGGGCGUAAAGGGCGCGUAGGCGGCCAUUCAAGUCGGGGGUGAAAGCCUGUGGCUCAACCACAGAAUUGCCUUCGAUACUUGUUUGGCUUGAGUAUGGUAAAAGGUUGGUGGAACUGC
rnacentral:rRNA from 1 species